rnacentral:rRNA from 1 species
UUGAACGCUGGCGGCAGGCCUAACACAUGCAAGUCGAACGGUAACAGGAAGCAGCUUGCUGCUUCGCUGACGAGUGGCGGACGGGUGAGUAAUGUCUGGGAAACUGCCUGAUGGAGGGGGAUAACUACUGGAAACGGUAGCUAAUACCGCAUAACGUCGCAAGACCAAAGAGGGGGACCUUCGGGCCUCUUGCCAUCGGAUGUGCCCAGAUGGGAUUAGCUAGUAGGUGGGGUAACGGCUCACCUAGGCGACGAUCCCUAGCUGGUCUGAGAGGAUGACCAGCCACACUGGAACUGAGACACGGUCCAGACUCCUACGGGAGGCAGCAGUGGGGAAUAUUGCACAAUGGGCGCAAGCCUGAUGCAGCCAUGCCGCGUGUAUGAAGAAGGCCUUCGGGUUGUAAAGUACUUUCAGCGGGGAGGAAGGGAGUAAAGUUAAUACCUUUGCUCAUUGACGUUACCCGCAGAAGAAGCACCGGCUAACUCCGUGCCAGCAGCCGCGGUAAUACGGAGGGUGCAAGCGUUAAUCGGAAUUACUGGGCGUAAAGCGCACGCAGGCGGUUUGUUAAGUCAGAUGUGAAAUCCCCGGGCUCAACCUGGGAACUGCAUCUGAUACUGGCAAGCUUGAGUCUCGUAGAGGGGGGUAGAAUUCCAGGUGUAGCGGUGAAAUGCGUAGAGAUCUGGAGGAAUACCGGUGGCGAAGGCGGCCCCCUGGACGAAGACUGACGCUCAGGUGCGAAAGCGUGGGGAGCAAACAGGAUUAGAUACCCUGGUAGUCCACGCCGUAAACGAUGUCGACUUGGAGGUUGUGCCCUUGAGGCGUGGCUUCCGGAGCUAACGCGUUAAGUCGACCGCCUGGGGAGUACGGCCGCAAGGUUAAAACUCAAAUGAAUUGACGGGGGCCCGCACAAGCGGUGGAGCAUGUGGUUUAAUUCGAUGCAACGCGAAGAACCUUACCUGGUCUUGACAUCCACAGAACUUUCCAGAGAUGGAUUGGUGCCUUCGGGAACUGUGAGACAGGUGCUGCAUGGCUGUCGUCAGCUCGUGUUGUGAAAUGUUGGGUUAAGUCCCGCAACGAGCGCAACCCUUAUCCUUUGUUGCCAGCGGUCCGGCCGGGAACUCAAAGGAGACUGCCAGUGAUAAACUGGAGGAAGGUGGGGAUGACGUCAAGUCAUCAUGCCCCUUAUGUCUUGGGCUACACACGUACUACAAUGGUCGGAAACAGAGGGAAGCGAAGCCGCGAGGCAGAGCAAACCCCAGAAACCCGAUCUCAGUUCGGAUCGCAGGCUGCAACCCGCCUGCGUGAAGUCGGAAUCGCUAGUAAUCGUGGAUCAGAAUGCCACGGUGAAUACGUUCCCGGGCCUUGUACACACCGCCCGUCACACCAUGGGAGUGGGUUGCAAAAGAAGUAGGUAGCUUAACCUUCGGGAGGGCGCUUACCACUUUGUGAUUCAUGACUGGGGUG